UACGUAGGGGGCAAGCGUUGUCCGGAAUCAUUGGGCGUAAAGAGCGUGUAGGCGGUCCGGUAAGUCGGCUGUGAAAGUCCAGGGCUCAACCCUGGGAUGCCGGUCGAUACUGCCGGACUAGAGUUCGGAAGAGGCGAGUGGAAUUCCCGGUGUAGCGGUGAAAUGCGCAGAUAUCAGGAGGAACACCGGUGGCGAAGGCGGGUAGCUGGGCCGACACUGACGCUGAGGCGCGAAAGCCAGGGGAGCGAACGGG
rnacentral:rRNA from 1 species